rnacentral:rRNA from 1 species
AGUCAAGUAAUUAAGUGCAUGUGGUGGAUGCCUUGGCAGUCAGAGGCGAUGAAAGACGUGAUAGCCUGCGAAAAGCUCCGGGGAGGCGGCAAAUAUCCUUUGAUCCGGAGAUGUCUGAAUGGGGGAACCCACCUACUUUAAGGUAGGUAUUGCAACAUGAAUACAUAGUGUUGCAAGGCGAACGAGGGGAAGUGAAACAUCUCAGUACCCUUAGGAAAAGAAAUCAAUUGAGAUUCCCUCAGUAGCGGCGAGCGAACGGGGAUCAGCCCAUUAAGUUAUGUGUGUUUUAGUGGAACGCUCUGGGAAGUGCGAACGUAGAGGGUGAUAUUCCCGUACACGAAAGGGCACACAUAAUGAUGACGAGUAGGGCGAGGCACGUGAAACCUUGUCUGAAUAUGGGGGGACCAUCCUCCAAGGCUAAAUACUCCUGACUGACCGAUAGUGAACCAGUACCGUGAGGGAAAGGCGAAAAGAACCCCUGUGAGGGGAGUGAAAUAGAUCCUGAAACCGCAUGCAUACAAGCAGUGGGAGCACCUUCGUGGUGUGACUGCGUACCUUUUGUAUAAUGGGUCAGCGACUUAUAUUCAGUAGCGAGGUUAACCGUAUAGGGGAGCCGUAGAGAAAUCGAGUCUUAAUAGGGCGUUUAGUUGCUGGGUAUAGACCCGAAACCAGGCGAUCUAUCCAUGAGCAGGUUGAAGGUUGGGUAACACUAACUGGAGGACCGAACCCACUGUCGUUGAAAAGCCAGGGGAUGACUUGUGGAUAGGGGUGAAAGGCUAAUCAAGCCUGGUGAUAGCUGGUUCUCCCCGAAAGCUAUUUAGGUAGCGCCUCGGACGAAUACCAUAGGGGGUAGAGCACUGUUUCGGCUAGGGGGUCAUCCCGACUUACCAAACCGAUGCAAACUCCGAAUACCUAUGAGUACUAUCCGGGAGACAGACUGCGGGUGCUAACGUCCGUAGUCAAGAGGAAAACAAUCCAGACCGCCAGCUAAGGCCCCAAAAUCAUAGUUAAGUGGGAAACGAUGUGGGAA